ACGUAGGAAGCGAGCGUUAUCCGGAUUUACUGGGCGUAAAGCGUGUGUAGGCGGUUUGAUAAGUUGGAUGUGAAAGCUCCUGGCUUAACUGGGAGAGGUCGUUCAAAACUAUCAGACUCGAGAGUGGUAGAGGGAGGUGGAAUUCCGGGUGUAGUGGUGAAAUGCGUAGAUAUCCGGAGGAACACCAGUGGCGAAAGCGGCCUCCUGGCCCAUUUCUGACGCUCAGACACGAAAGCUAAGGUAGCAAACGGGAUUAGAGACCCCGGUAGUCUUAGCUGUAAACGAUGUGAACUUAGUGUCGGUGGGUUUAAAUCCAUCGGUACUGAAGCUAACGCGAUAAGUUCACCGCCUGGGGACUACGGCCGCAAGGUUA
rnacentral:rRNA from 1 species